GUUGCCUAGCACCUUUAGGAAGAACUCAAGAACUGGCCUUUCUUUUGAAGGGUCCUUAGAAUCUAGGGGGCUGGCUUAGAUCUGGGGAGAGGCUACAUUUUGGCUUGGGUGGGAAUGGGGUUCUCAGGAAGUAGAGUUUGUAGUUUGAAUGGGAAGGGUGAAGUGGUGAUUUGGGGUCCUUGCCCUAGUCCAAGCUGCUGUCAACUCAUUAUAAGAUCUCCAGCCUUUACCCUUUGAGCCUAGUUUGUUUCUCUGUAAGAACAGGCUGGACUAACCUCUGAAGAAAGCAAUGCCAGCCGGUGAGAAACAUCUGGAAUCACAGGGCAGUGAGGCCUCGGUAGGGGGCUGCCUUCCUCAGCUUAGCAGUGACUGUCAGAAGGCAGAGAUUAACCAACCAUUUGUCCUUGAAACCUCAAAAAGGGUGAACUACUCAUGCUUCAAGACUCAUGUGCCAUUUUCUCCGAGGGACAGGAUCUCUGGCCCAUCCUCCCGGCAGUGAGCUGGCCAUGUGUGCCCAUACCUACCUUGGACUUACUCUAUAAUAGAAUUUAUGAAAUUGAACGGAUUUGCUUAUGUAUCUGGCUCCCUCCUUUUGACUGCACACUCGCUUAGAUUUUUUUUUUCUCAAGUGUCGCCCUCAUUGGCAAGCCUUUUGGGAUCCCCUCCCCAGAGCUAGAUAGCUCCCCUGUGCUCCCGCGUAUCCAGAGCUCACGGAUAUGACGGCGCUUACCACACUGUACUUCACAGCACUCGUCUACCACCCAGACAGCGCCCUCCCUGGAGGGCAGGGCCUGAGUCUCAUUUAUCUCUGCACGUCCAGAACUGGCAACGUAACUGGCAGAGAUUACUCAACAAAUGUCUGUUGAAUGAUGAGAAAAUCAACUUCCCACACUUCCUCAUCUCCCUGAGUGGUUCUUACGUGCAUCUGGCUGGCCCCUGUCCUUUUUGCUGACACUUAGAGAAUUUCAAAAUAGUCCGGCUGCCAACCUCCGCUCUCUCACGGCUGAGAGCUAUGAUUGUGUGCUCUGAGAUUCACCACCUUCAAGCCCAUCGCGAAGGACUCAUUUAUUCCAAAUGAUGUGGCUUCCUUCUCUCAAGCUAGAAGGAGGCCUGGUACAGAACCAGGAACCGGUGAACUUCUCAAGAUUGGAAGAGGCAAGAGAGACAUGGGGCUGGUAUCUUAGCACGUCCAUGGGAAAAAGGAACGUUUGGAAGUUUUCCCCUACCCCAUAGUGCUCCUGAGUUUUCAGGGAUAGGAUCCUUGUUCCUGGAGCCCUUACCUGGUGCGACGAGGGGGUGGGUAGCCACAGCGGGCACCAUCCGACUGAGCCCAGCCCGGCCCUCCAUGCUCCCUGGCACACCGUUGUUACCAUCUCCUUUCUUGAGUGGCUCCAUCACACUGUCACUUA